GCCAGCAUGGUGUAGUGGUUUCAGCAUUAGACAAUGACUCUGAAGACCAGGGUUCAAAUCUUGGCUUGGGCA
rnacentral:tRNA from 1 species